UGGUCAUAUACCAAGGCUUUUAGGAGUUCCAGUUCCUGACUUGCUGUGGAAUUGACCAUAAAGUAAACCUCAUUCCAGUGGGUCUCGCCAUGCUGGGGUGACCUAUUGGGAACAUUG
rnacentral:snoRNA from 1 species